rnacentral:lncRNA from 1 species
AGCCCGAGCAGCCCGUCUGUUUACUCCUUAAGACGUAGGAUAUCUCUGCUCAACUGGAGGAACUGCAGAAGCAGCUUGGGAUCGAGACCAGAGGGCAGCGUGACUGAAGUGGAAACUCAACCAUUGCUGUCGAAACUAGGAAAACCACUGUUUUCCAUCCAUAUGAAAAUCCCAAGUCCAAAUCAAUCCCCGAUGCAACGCCUGUAAUGAAAACCACGAAGACAAAAGCAGCGACUGGACACCAUGUUGUGCUUUUAAACGUGUUCUCCUUUGGCUCCAAGCAGCAGUGACAG